rnacentral:rRNA from 1 species
UACGUAGGGCGCAAGCGUUGUCCGGAAUUAUUGGGCGUAAAGAGCUCGUAGGCGGCUUGUCACGUCGGAUGUGAAAGCCCGAGGCUUAACCUCGGGUCUGCAUUCGAUACGGGCUAGCUAGAGUGUGGUAGGGGAGAUCGGAAUUCCUGGUGUAGCGGUGAAAUGCGCAGAUAUCAGGAGGAACACCGGUGGCGAAGGCGGGUCUCUGGGCCGUAACUGACGCUGAGGAGCGGAAAGCAUGGGGAGCGAACAGG